rnacentral:lncRNA from 1 species
CCUCAAAAUUAGAUCAGCAACUACAACACAAAAUUAAAUCAACAAAAAUAGAUCAGCAAGGUGAUAGUGGCGCCCCAUAGCCGCGAAUUUCUUGCAAGGUGACAGAAAAAAUAGAUCAGCAAGAUAAAAAAAAUAGAUCCCCAAUUUCUUGCACAAAAUUAGGGCUUGGACGAGGUGACAAUUAGGGUGAGGCGACAGCCUUCCUGGGCCGGAGGCGCCGCGUGUGGCAGCGGCGUUGCCGGAAAUGAGAGGGAGAUCUAGGAAGAGGAGGAGACCGAAUUUGGGAGCCUAGGGCUCGGCGGUGGCGGCGGCUCUGCCGUCGUUUCGUUCUGAGUAAAUGAGAGGGUAGAGAGGGGGGCGGCUGUUGUAGCUUUGCUGCAGCCGCCGGAAACCAGUAGUGCUGCGAGCAACACCAGUAGCGUCGCGAGCUCGAGAUGGAGAGAUCUGAGGCUGCGGGCGCGAAGCCAAAUCCAUCGGAUGUCGUCGCUUCGUCAGCCGAGUCCGACUAGAUGACGCCGG